UAGGAGAGUUCCUGUUGCAUCCUGGAAAUCUGUCAAUUCUGGAUUGACCCCAGAUUGAUCGGGUCAUAUGAUACUAAGAUUAGAGUUCUGCUGGUUCCUUUCCGUUUGUCUGAAUUAUAGUCUCCAAUAUAUAAGAUUCGAUGUGUGGCCCUCGGUUCUGCUCACCAUGCAAUUCUUCAGCAGUUUCAUCGCAGUGUUACAUAAUCCGAAAGGAGGUUGCAGGG